rnacentral:lncRNA from 1 species
CCAGGAAUCAUUUUUCUUUUAGUAGCUUAGCAAUUUCCAUUACAUUGUCUGUUACAGCUUCCAUUACAUAGUUUGUCUGUUACAGCUUCCAUUGUAUUCCUAGUACAUUUGUACAUAUAUACAAUGUGGUUAUAAUUAAAUUCCCCUAUUCAGAGCCUUCUGUAGUCCAAUCUAACAACUGAAAUAGAAACAUAUUUGGUAAGGAGACUAAUUAGAAUAUGGGAAGUAGGAUUUUACAAAAAAAAAUUUUAGUUCAGAAAUUUAGAAAAGUAGAUAGAGCAAAUAUGAUGGUGAUGUAGCCCAGGAACUCAAUAAUCUGUAUAAAAUGAAUUUGAUGUUUACCUCACACCAUUUUUAUACAAGAUUAAGCACUUCUACAGAUUGCAUGACUAGUUCAGUAGCUUCUGUAGCAUCACUUCACAGAAGACAAAGUGAUUGGUUCUUUCCAGUUGCAUGGUGACCUCACUCUGAUUAUCAUUUCAUGUGAUUUUUGGUUGUGAGAUUACCUGAGAGCUAAUGCCUAUCAUGGCAGUAUCUCAAACUUGGCAGCAAUUUCUGAUCUAUAAGAAUGGUGGCCACAUUGAACCAGGUCUUAUUUAAUAUGGAUAAUCUCAAUGUGGUUGAGUUGGGCAUCAAGUUUUUGACAACAUUUAUACUCUACUAACUUUCAGAAUUAUUAUGCUAAAUGAAACCAAUAAUUGAUUGUUUGUUUUAUUUCUCUGUUGUUAUAAGUGCAAUACAUACAGGUAAUCAGUCAUUUCAGCUUAGCUUUUCCCAUUUCCCUGCCCAUUUUUGCUUUUUUUUGCAUUGCAAAGCAACUUUUUUAACUAAACUUUUUCCUCAUAAAAUCCUGCUUCCCCUCUCAAUUAGUUUUUCUGUCAAAUUUAAUGUCAUUCUGAUUGUUGGAUAUGGCUACAGAAGGCUCU